CUUAUACUCAUCAUCAAUCUCUGUCUAUUCAUCAUCCUACCAGAAAAAAACAAUGAAUCAUUGUCACAAGUCACAACUAUACUCUGGAGAACAAUGAUCAAAGCUCACACAGUACUAUAGUAGCAUAGCAUUUAGCUAAAUAGAACUCAUUGAUUCAUCUGCAGCCUGCAGGAGAGCUAGUAGGCGCUGCAGCAGGCCAGCCCGUGAUUCAC
rnacentral:lncRNA from 1 species